GGGACACGCGCCCAGCUCUGUAGCCUCCUCCGUCGACUCAGCCUUAGGUACCGGUCAGGCAAAAUGCGGUCCUCCCUGGCUCCGGGAGUCUGGUUCUUCCGGGCCUUCUCCAGGGACAGCUGGUUCCGAGGCCUCAUCCUGCUGCUGACCUUCCUAAUUUACGCCUGCUAUCACAUGUCCAGGAAGCCUAUCAGUAUCGUCAAGAGCCGUCUGCACCAGAACUGCUCGGAGCAGAUCAAACCCAUCAAUGAUACUCACAGUCUCAAUGACACCAUGUGGUGCAGCUGGGCCCCAUUUGACAAGGACAACUAUAAGGAGUUACUAGGGGGCGUGGACAACGCCUUCCUCAUCGCCUAUGCCAUCGGCAUGUUCAUCAGUGGGGUUUUUGGGGAGCGGCUUCCGCUCCGUUACUACCUCUCAGCUGGAAUGCUGCUCAGUGGCCUUUUCACCUCGCUCUUUGGCCUGGGAUAUUUCUGGAACAUCCACGAGCUCUGGUACUUUGUGGUCAUCCAGGUCUGUAAUGGACUCGUCCAGACCACAGGCUGGCCCUCUGUGGUGACCUGUGUUGGCAACUGGUUCGGGAAGGGGAAGCGGGGGUUCAUCAUGGGCAUCUGGAAUUCCCACACAUCUGUGGGCAACAUCCUGGGCUCCCUGAUCGCCGGCAUCUGGGUGAACGGGCAGUGGGGCCUGUCGUUCAUCGUGCCUGGCAUCAUUACUGCCGUCAUGGGCGUCAUCACCUUCCUCUUCCUCAUCGAACACCCAGAAGAUGUGGACUGCGCCCCUCCUCAGCACCACGGUGAGCCAGCUGAGAACCAGGACAACCCUGAGGACCCUGGGAACAGUCCCUGCUCUAUCAGGGAGAGCGGCCUUGAGACUGUGGCCAAAUGCUCCAAGGGGCCAUGCGAAGAGCCUGCUGCCAUCAGCUUCUUUGGGGCGCUCCGGAUCCCAGGCGUGGUCGAGUUCUCUCUGUGUCUGCUGUUUGCCAAGCUGGUCAGUUACACCUUCCUCUACUGGCUGCCCCUCUACAUCGCCAAUGUGGCUCACUUUAGUGCCAAGGAGGCUGGGGACCUGUCUACACUCUUCGAUGUUGGUGGCAUCAUAGGCGGCAUCGUGGCAGGGCUCGUCUCUGACUACACCAAUGGCAGGGCCACCACUUGCUGUGUCAUGCUCAUCUUGGCUGCCCCCAUGAUGUUCCUGUACAACUACAUUGGCCAGGACGGGAUUGCCAGCUCCAUAGUGAUGCUGAUCAUCUGUGGGGGCCUGGUCAAUGGCCCAUACGCGCUCAUCACCACUGCUGUCUCUGCUGAUCUGGGGACUCACAAGAGCCUGAAGGGCAACGCCAAAGCCCUGUCCACGGUCACGGCCAUCAUUGACGGCACCGGCUCCAUAGGUGCGGCUCUGGGGCCUCUGCUGGCUGGGCUCAUCUCCCCCACGGGCUGGAACAAUGUCUUCUACAUGCUCAUCUCUGCCGACGUCCUAGCCUGCUUGCUCCUUUGCCGGUUAGUAUACAAAGAGAUCUUGGCCUGGAAGGUGUCCCUGAGCAGAGGCAGCGGCUCUAGUAUGGUCCUAACCCACCAGUGAUAGUAUUUUCCUCAAGUCCCAUGACUUUUGUGAGUAUUUACUUCGAGUCUGUGACUCGAGUGCCAUUUGAGUGGGGGCUGCAUGCAAAUCCUCUGUCCUGCAGUAUGACUUUUUCCAACUUUCUCUUUCUUCUUGUGGGCCAGUUGUAAAGACUUUCAACCUCAGCAGAGCAUGGUGCUUGGGAAGUGUUUUCCAAGGGGUCUGAGAUGCCACAGAGGUUGGUGGCCUCUUCCCUGAGGGACAGUGUGAGAACUUUGGACAUGCCCUCGGGGACAGAGGAGGCAGAAAUAGGGAAACCAGUUUCCCUCUGAGCUGCGACUGAGCUGCAAGUGCCUCCUGAAGUUCAGAAACCAAGGUCAUCUGGCCCCUCUGCCUGGGGUAUGCAGAACAAAAGCAACUACCAAUCAAAGUCUCUGAAACAAAUGUGAAUCAAGCAUGGGUGGCUGGCCUGGUGUGCUCUCUGCCUACUGUCUGGUGGUGGUGGAUGUGGUGGUGGCAUCAGCAGGUCAGUGGCUGAGGCUACACAGUGCUGGUGGUCUGAUGGUCGGGCGACCCUCUCCCGCUGGCCGUCCUGAGCAGGAGCCUCGUGCUAACAAGGAGGCCGCUAAUGAGCUGGCCGGAGCUGUGGACCUGGGCUGGAUGGCAAAUGUGAGGAGGAACCCCCGGGACAUGGUAACCAGCACGCAUCUGGGGACACACUUCCACUUAAGGAAGACACCACCCAGGGGAGAGAAAGUGAGAGCAGGAAGACACACAACACAGGAAGCACGCAGAGCACCUGUCCUGCCCUGCCCUGCCCUGCCCUGGAAGAGGGGAGCAGGGGGCUGGACUGCAUGACCCAAAGUUCCUGUGCCUGUGCUCCUUGGAGCCAGGCCUGAGGGUGGGAAGGGAAGAAGAGCAGCAGAAAGCGAGGAGGAUUUAGUGAGCAACUGCUCUGUCCUGGAAUUGUGUCUGGCUUUAGACGUGUGAGCUUGCCUCGCAGCAGCCUCUCAUUGAAGGUAUAAAGAAAUAUGAGGCCCCAAUUGGAACAGCAGCAUGGAGGGUCCCAGUUGGGUCCCCAACGUGCUCCCCAUGGGCAAGACAAUGGAAACUUCCACAAGCAGGGAAGGCAAACCCUCUUUAUUGAACAUUAGCCAGCCCAGCCCAGACCCCAGGGCUGCCUAAGGACACAGAGAUUCUCCAUGGGAAGGGGACUGCCAAGCAUGAGGAAAUAGAAGAUUCAGGGGCCUGAGCUCUGGAAGCUGCAAGCAAAAGGGAUGGGACUAGGGCUGAGUUGUGUCUCCAUUUUGAUAAGGAAAGGAUAUGCUCAGACUCUUGCUUGUUCAGAUUCCAAGACAGAAGGCUUCACAAGGCCAACGCCUGGAAAAUGGGCAUCUCUCCUUCCCAUGUUAAGCUUUAACCUCUGUAAUCUGCCUGUAUCUAUAGGUGGGCAUCUCACUCCACCAAAGGAGCCCAGCCUCUCUUUGUCCCUCUAUCCAUGCAACAGUCUUCUCUGUGCAUUUCCCCAAGCUGGGCCCUCUUCUACUCUCCAUUUAGGCCUGUUGAUAACUCCAUUACCCGCCCAUCACUGCUGUUCCUCCAGGGCCAGCACUCGGGCGAGGCAGGGGAGCUGCCUUCGGUACAUAAUUUGAAGGGGCACUCCCUCUUGGGCACAUGCCGGCCCUGAGUGCCUCCCUUGCCUCACUCUGAUCCUGGCCCCAUAAUGUCCUCAGUGGAAGGUGAUGGGGGCCGGUGCUGUGGGGAGAGUAGAAAGAGGGGUUGGCAUGACUAAAAAUACCAGUAUGUGUAUUAAGUAUUUUGAGAAUGAAAUGCCAAGGAGUGCCUACUAUAUGCCAGCUCUAGGAAUGGAGUAGACAGUGGACACAAGAAGGACUUACGCCCUGAGCACAGGUGCCAAUGGUGACAAGACUGGCAAGACGUGAGGGCAUGAAUGGUUCAUUCAGGCAGCUGCUGCAGAUGUGGUCACCUGGUGCCAUCUGCUGCUCCCUUUUCCACUUUUCUAUGUCCUCCUUCCACCCCAAGUCCCGGAUCACUCGCUGUUUUCUGGCUAGCUCUUGGCAUCUCCAUCUGAGCCUAAAGUUGCCCACUGGCACCAAUAGAUUCUGUUUGACCUGCUGUGCCCAUGCUCAUCUUUGUCGGGGCUUGGCUUGGCAGCGAGCGAGGCUGGCAUGGGGUGCUGAAGUGGGGUCUCAGUGAGGGGUGACAGCGUGCUGGCAGUCCUCACAGCCCUCGCUCGCUCUCGGCGCCUCCUCUGCCUGGGCUCCCACUUUGGCGGCACUUGAGGAGCCCUUCAGCCCACCGCUGCACUGUGGGGAGCCCCUUUCUGGGCUGGCCAAGGCCAGAGCAGGCUCCCUCAGCUUGCAGGGAGGUGUGGAGCGAGAGGCGCGAGCGGGAACCGGGGCUGCAUGCAGCGCUUGCGGGCCAGCUGGAGUUCCGGGUGGGCAUGGGCUUGGCGGGCCUGCACUCGGAGCAGCCGGCCGGCCCUUCCGGCCCCGGGCAGUGAGGGACUUGGCACCCGGGCCAGCGGCUGCAGAGGGUGUACUGGGUCCCCCAGCAGUGCCGGCCCACCUGCGCUGUGCUUGAUUUCUCGCUGGGCCUUAGCUGCCUUCCCGCGGGGCAGGGCUCGGGACCUGCAGCCCGCGGUGCCUGAGCCUCCCACCCGCUCCAUGGGCUCCUGUGGGGCCCGAGCCUCCCCGACGAGUACCACCCCCUGCUCCAGGGCGCCCAGUCCCAUCGACCACCCAAGGGCUGAGGAGUGCGAGCGCACGGCGCGGGACUGGCAGGCAGCUCCACCUGCAGCCCCGGUGCGGGAUCCACUAGGUGAAGCCAGCUGGGCUCCUGAGUCUGAUGGGGACGUGGAGAGUCCUUAUGUCCUGCUCAGGGAUUGUAAACACACCAAUCAGCACCCUGUGUUUAGCUCAAGGUUUGUGAGUGCACCAGUCGACACUCUGUAUCUAGCUGCUCUGGUGGGGCCUCGGAGAACCUUUAUAUCUAGCUCAGGGAUUGUAAAUACACCCAUCGGCACUGUGUAUCUAGCUCAAGGUUUAUAAACACACCAAUCAACACCCUGUGUCUAGCUCAGGGUUUGUGAGUGCACCAAUCAACACUCUGUAUCUAGCUGCUCUGGUGGGGCCUUGGAGAACCUGUGUGUCGAAACUCUGUAUCUAACUAAUCUGAUGGGGACGUGGAGAACCUUUGUAUCUAGCUCAGGGAUUGUAAACGCACCAAUCAACGACCUGUCAAAACAGGCCACUCGGCUCUACCAAUAAGCAGGAUGUGGGUGGGGCCAGAUAAGAGAAUAAAAGCAGGCUGCCCGAGCCAGCAUUGGCAACUCGCUCGGGUCCCCUUCCACGCUGUGGGAGCUUUGUUCUUUGCAAUAAAUCUUGCUACUGCUCA